rnacentral:rRNA from 1 species
UUCCAGACUCCUACGGGAGGCAGCAGUGGGGAAUAUUGCACAAUGGAGGGAACCCUGAUGCAGCGACGCCGCGUGGGUGAAGGAGCGUUUCGGCGCGUAAAGCCCUAUCGGCAGGGCAGGAGGAGGACGGUACCUGACUAAGAAGCCCCGACUAACUACGUGCCAGCAGCCGCGGCAAUACGUAGGGGGCAAGCGUUAUCCGGGUUUACUGGGUGUAAAGGGGGCGCAGACGGCGGCGCAAGCCAGGAGUGAAAGCCCGGGGCCCAACCCCGGGACUGCUCUGGAAACUGCGGCGCUGGAGUACGGGAGGGGCAGGCGGAAUUCCUGGUGUAGCGGUGAAAUGCGUAGAUAUCAGGAGGAACACCGGCGGCGAAGGCGGCCUGUUGGACCGUGACUGACGUUGAGGCUCGAGAGCGUGGGGAGCAAACAGGAUUAGAUACCCCCGUA